CCGAAGCGCAACUUUUCCCCAGGCAAAGUGAAAUCAAACCGCGGACUCGGACAAAAUAUAGUCCCCGUUUUUCAACUUAAAAUUAUCGAAAGAAAAGCGAACCCGCUUCCCCGUCGGACCCCUCGUCGUUCGGCCGUACUCUGGAGAGGAGCCGCGCCGGGGCCUGAGCUCUUUCCGCCGGGUUUGGAGCACUUUUGAAGACGGGCGGAAAGUGGGUGAUGAGUCCUAGCCUGUAAAAAGAAGCGAGAACUUGCUUUUGCAGCCCGAGUAGUUCUUCUUUCAAUUGUUAUUGUCGCUUUAAAAAAUCUUUUAAUUCACUUAAACUUCGUCUCGGCCGCGUCGAAAGUGGGAGAAAAGUGCUUUUCUGGUCGGAACAUGGAACUACAAGGCCUGCAAGAGGCGUUGAAAGUAGAAAUCCAAUGUCAUCAGGAUGGCGAGCUUAAGAGACAGCUGCACGACAGGCAAACCAGAAUCACAGCCCUCACUGACAAACAAAAUCAGACGUUGUGCAAAGGCCUCAAUGAACUUCAAAAUGGACAG